rnacentral:ncRNA from 1 species
CAAGGUCUUGGUCUUAAACCUAAUAUUACCUGUAACCCUGACUAUACAUGCAAGCCUCAACAAAACGGUGAGACAGCCCAAACAAACUGACGGAGUCGGCAUCAGGCCAAAAUUAACUACCAACGACGCCAAGCAUAAGCCACACCCCCACGGGCAAACAGCAGUAAUUAACAUUGGGCAAUAAGUGCAAACUUGACCCAGCAAGAGUUACACAGGGCCGGUAAAUCUCGUGCCAGCGACCGCGGUUACACGAUAGGCCCAAGAUAAUACAAACGGCGUAAAGCACGACUAGAAAACAAUCAAACAAAUUAAGGACAAAACAAAGCUAGGUUGUAAAACACCAUAAGUUAAAAUAAGCACAUAUCCUUAAACCCCUGUUUUAACUCGUGAAAAUUAGGACACAAACUAGGAUUAGAUACCCUACUAUGCCUAAUAGUAACACGGCAACCAAAAACAAUAAUGCCCGCCAAACAACUACGAGUGAAAACUUAAAACUUAAAAGACUUGACGGUACUUCAAACUCGACCUAGAGGAGCCUGUCUACUAACCGAUAACCCACGAUUAACCCAACCACUUCUGGCCAUCCAGCCUAUAUACCGCCGUCGCCAGCCCACCUUGUGAAAGAAACCAAGUGGACAAAACAGUACUACACUAACACGACGGGUCGAGGUGUAGCUCAUGAAGUGGAACAAGAUGGGCUACAUUAUCUAACUCAGAUUAAACAGACUAAGCUAUGCAAACUUAGCUCUCAAAGGAGGAUUUAGCAGUAAGAUGAGAACACAAUACUCAACUGAAAACACCGCAAUGAAGUGCGUACACACCGCCCGUCAUCCCUGCCACUAUAAGCUAAAAAAUUCAUAAUACCACGCUCAACAAAAAACAGGGCAAGUCGUAACACGGUAAGCGUACUGGAAAGUGUGCUUAGAAA